UACGUAGGGUGCGAGCGUUAAUCGGAAUUACUGGGCGUAAAGCGUGCGCAGGCGGUUUGUUAAGCGAGAUGUGAAAGCCCCGGGCUCAACCUGGGAACCGCAUUUCGAACUGGCAAACUAGAGUCUUGUAGAGGGGGGUAGAAUUCCAGGUGUAGCGGUGAAAUGCGUAGAGAUCUGGAGGAAUACCGGUGGCGAAGGCGGCCCCCUGGGCCGGUACUGACGCUCAUGCACGAAAGCGUGGGGAGCAAACAGG
rnacentral:rRNA from 1 species